CCAACGCAUUUACAGAGAAAUAUUUUGUUCCUUAUUUAGGACCUCAAGAAAAGAAACAGGUUUGAGGAGGCGGAAAUGGAAAGGAUGUUCCCGCGAAUGGAAACGCGGAAAACGAGGAGAAUGGAGAUCCAGAAAAUGAAGUAGACGAGGAAGAUGAUGAUGUGGCUGAAGAAGACGAGGAAGAGGACGAUGGAGAAGGUGAUGACGAUGAUGAAGAUGAGGAGGCUGAGGGUGGAACGGGAAAAGAGCAGCUGAGGAUGAUGAUGAUGAGGCAAG